GAUGAACGCUGGCGGCGUGCCUAAUACAUGCAAGUCGAACGAUGAUGCUGGAGCUUGCUCCAGUUGAUUAGUGGCGAACGGGUGAGUAACACGUGAGCAAUCUGCCCUUGACUCUGGGAUAACUGCGGGAAACUGUAGCUAAUACCGGAUACUUUCACCGGAAGGCAUCUUCUGGUGAUGAAAGAAUUUCGGUCAGGGAUGAGCUCGCGGCCUAUCAGCUUGUUGGUGAGGUAACGGCUCACCAAGGCGACGACGGGUAACCGGCCUGAGAGGGUGACCGGUCACACUGGGACUGAGACACGGCCCAGACUCCUACGGGAGGCAGCAGUGGGGGAUAUUGCACAAUGGGCGCAAGCCUGAUGCAGCAACGCGGCGUGAGGGAUGAAGGCCUUCGGGUUGUAAACCUCUUUUAGCAGGGAAGAAGCGAAAGUGACGGUACCUGCAGAAAAAGCACCGGCUAACUACGUGCCAGCCGCCGCUGUAA
rnacentral:rRNA from 1 species